ensembl:misc_RNA Metazoa_SRP Metazoan signal recognition particle RNA
GCUGGGCAUGGUGGCACAUGCCUGUAAUCCCAGCUACUCAGGAGGCUGAGGCAGGAGAAUCACUUGAACCCAGGAGGCGGAUGUUACAGUGAGUUGAGAUCGCGCCACUGCACUCCAGCCUGGGUGACAGAGUGAGACUCUGUCUCAA